UAGAGUUUGAUCAUGGCUCAGGAUGAACGCUGGCGGCGUGCCUAAUACAUGCAAGUCGAGCGAACAGAUAAGGAGCUUGCUCCUUUGACGUUAGCGGCGGACGGGUGAGUAACACGUGGGUAACCUACCUAUAAGACUGGAAUAACUCCGGGAAACCGGGGCUAAUGCCGGAUAACAUUUAGAACCGCAUGGUUCUAAAGUGAAAGAUGGUUUUGCUAUCACUUAUAGAUGGACCCGCGCCGUAUUAGCUAGUUGGUAAGGUAAUGGCUUACCAAGGCAACGAUACGUAGCCGACCUGAGAGGGUGAUCGGCCACACUGGAACUGAGACACGGUCCAGACUCCUACGGGAGGCAGCAGUAGGGAAUCUUCCGCAAUGGGCGAAAGCCUGACGGAGCAACGCCGCGUGAGUGAUGAAGGGUUUCGGCUCGUAAAACUCUGUUAUUAGGGAAGAACAAACGUGUAAGUAACUGUGCACGUCUUGACGGUACCUAAUCAGAAAGCCACGGCUAACUACGUGCCAGCAGCCG
rnacentral:rRNA from 1 species